ensembl:misc_RNA Metazoa_SRP Metazoan signal recognition particle RNA
GCCGGGUGCGGUGGCGUGCACCUGUAGUCCUAGCUACUCGGGAGGCUGAGGUGGAAGGAUCACUUGAGCCCAGGAGUUCUGGGCUGCAGUGCGCUAUGCCAAUCGGGUGUCUGCACUAAGUUCGGCAUCAAUAUGGUGACCUCCUGGGAGCAGGUGACCACCAGGUUGCCUAAGGAGGGGUGAACUGGCGCAGGUGGGAAACAGAGCAGGUCAAAACUCCCAUGCUGAUCAGUAGUGGGAUCACGCCUGUGAAUAGACACUGCACACCAGCCAGGGCAACAUAACGAGACCCCGUCUCUA